UACGUAGGGACCGAGCGUUGUCCGGAAUCAUUGGGCGUAAAGAGCGUGUAGGCGGCCACUUAAGUCCUGCGUGAAAUCUUGCGGCUCAACCGCAAGCGGUCGUGGGAAACUGGGUGGCUAGAGUGCGGGAGAGGAGAGUGGAAUUCCUGGUGUAGCGGUGGAAUGCGCAGAUAUCAGGAAGAACACCCGUGGCGAAGGCGGCUCUCUGGAACGCAACUGACGCUGAGACGCGAAGCGUGGGGAGCAAACAGG
rnacentral:rRNA from 1 species